CUGAGCGCGAGCACAUUACUUCAACUUCCAGCCACCAAGGUCACCGCCACCCGCCGGAGGUUACAGAACCCAUUUGCCACCACCUCUAGCCCUCUCCCUUACACAGCCGCUCCACACCCUUUCCACUAUCUCUAUCUCCUUUUUAGUUUACAGAAACUCCAUUUCUCUUGCCAAAAAAUUCAGCUGCCUCUGAAGUUUUCGGGUCAGAGCCACUCGCUUUCAAAUAGUAUAAACUCUUAUCACUCUCCACCCUAAGCUUUCAUGGUGAGAUGAGAUCUCUUAUAACCGUAAUGACAAAUCUGAAUCUAUUUUAGCCAAGUGGUCAAGGCAGUCUCAAAGGGACCUGAUUACUACAACCUUAAUUCUGGAGGGUAUGAGUCAUUGCCAUUUUUGAUAUUAAAAAUUCACUCUUUCUGCUGUAACUUUCUUGGGCAAAAGAAGCAAAAG
rnacentral:misc_RNA from 1 species